UUAGUUAAAGCCAAACAGAGGCAUUUCAUUGUUAAUGAAAUUAUUGAAACUUAAAUUCUAGCUAAA
rnacentral:tRNA from 1 species